ACCUGGUAGUAACAAUGGAAGUCAUAUUUUGUGUGCAUGUGAUCAAGUGUCUUCCCCACACUCCAUUCUAAAAAUAAAAAAGUUAUAACUCCAUAAAGGUUAAUGGCAUAUGAUAAGUAUCUUAUGUUGAGAGAAGGAAAGCAGAUAGGUGACCAAUUGGCGGGGUUUUAGCUUUGUCUGUUCUGCUAAGCCCCUGCGGUGCAGCAGAGAGCUAACCAUAACUUAAUACCGCAGGUCUAAGGGAAGGCUCAGAAGUUGGGGCACUGGUUUCUUUUAAGGGUGGGAGUGAGGAGCAGGGUGGAAAACAUGAGUUUACUGGAGUCUUUAAAAGGAGUAGCUGCCUUUGUCCACUCCCCUUACCUUACACCGCCACGUGACUGGACUUAAAUUCAGCAGAAAACAGAAGGUUUACCAUCUGCAGAAAGAAGUUGGGGCUAUGGACUGGUGGAUACCAGACACAGAAUCCCCAACUUUUAGCUGGACAUAUGACUGCUCAAAAAACAUCUAAAAAAAGAAGACGAAGAAGAAGAAAAUACAUCUCCCAGCCCAGCCUCCCUUGUAAGUGUGGCCACAUGAUUAAGUUCUAGAUGGCGGGAUGAGCUAUUUCCAGUGCCUUUGAAGAGGCCAUGUCUUCUUCCUUCCCUUUCUCCUUCUUAUAGCUGGAAAUGGGCAUGAUGACUAGAGAUCAAACAGGGCUCUUGGACCAUAAAGAUGCGGGAUGAUUUGCUGAGCAUUACAAAGCUACAAAAUAGAGCCUGAGUUCUUGACAAACUUUUUCAGUGUUCCAUCUCUGACAACCUACGUCUGGACUUCUUUCAGAUGAUAAAAUAUCUUGUUUAAGUUAUUUUUAUUUUAGGUCUCCUGUUACAUGCAGCUGAAUGUAAUCCUAAAUAGUUGUUUAGAAAUAUAAAGAGAAAUAGCAAAAGGGACAGACUCAAAAUAGGCUCAAGAUGAAAAGCUGAAUAGAUCAAUCCUCAUAGGGAAAAAAAAAAAUCAAGUGGUAGGUGUGCCAUUUUUUAAGUUACUAUCUUGUUUCAAACACUCUUGUCCUAUGUGGUGAUGAGGCUGGAGCUCUGCAGACUACAUUUCUUACAUGGGAUUAGGAGUAGGGAAAGGUAUGGAGAAGAGUGUUCCUCGAAGAGGAAAGAGCAUGUGCAAAAGGCUGGGAAAAAAAGGAAUUUGGUUUAUUCAGGUAAAAAAUACAUUAGGUCUAAAAAAAAAUUAAGUGUACAAUGCAUUGCUUUUUAAUUCCUUCACAAAAUUGUGCAACCAUCACCACUACUGAAUUCCAGAACAUUUUCAUCAUCCCAAAAAGAAACCCCAUAACCAUUAGCAGUCACUCCCCAUUUCCCCUUCUCAUCUCAUCAGCUGUACCAACCACUAACCUACUUUCUAUCUCUAUGGCUUUACCUAUUCUGGACAUUAUUUCACAUAAAUAGAAUUAUACAAUAUGUGACUUUUUAUACCUAGUUUCUUUCACUUAGCAUAAUGGCUUUAAGCUUCAUCUAGGUUGUGCCAUGCAUCAGUAUUUCAUUGCUUUUUCUAAAAGGCCAAAUAUUCAAUUGUAUGGAUAUAUCACAUUUUGUUUAUCCAUUCUUCAGUUGAUCAACAUUUGGGAUGGUUCUACCUUUGGACUAUUAUGAAUAAUGAUGCUAUGAGUAUUUGUGUACAACAUUUUGUGUGGAUGUAUGUUUUCAUUUCUCUUGGGUAUAUACUUAGGAUGGAAUUGUUUGGCCACAUGGCAACUCUAUGCUUAACUUUUUGAAG